rnacentral:rRNA from 1 species
CAAAAACAUGUCCUAUAGAUAUUAAUUUUAGGUUUAAUCUGCUCAGUGAUUAAUUUUAAAUAGCUGCAGUAUUUUGACUGUACAAAGGUAGCAUAAUCAUUUGUCUUUUAAUUGGAGGCUUGUAUGAAUGAUUGGACGAAAAAUAAUCUUUCUUUAUUUAAUAAUUUUGAAUUUAAUUUUUUAGUUAAAAAGCUAAAAUGAAUUUGUAAGACGAGAAGACCCUAUAGAAUUUUAUUUUAUUUAUUUUAUUUAUUUUAUUUUUAAAUGUUUUUAAUUUAAAUUAAAUUUGGUUGGGGUGACUAUGAAAAUUUUUUAACUUUCAUUUAUUUUUUUCAUAAAUUAAUGUUGUAUAUUGAUCCUGUUUUAUAGAUUAAAAGAUUAAAUUACCUUAGGGAUAAC